rnacentral:rRNA from 1 species
UACAGGUGCUGCAUGGCUGUCGUCAGCUCGUGUCGUGAGAUGUUCGGUUAAGUCCGCUAACGAGCGCAACCCUCGCUGUGUGUUACAAGUGUCACACGGAACUGCCGGUCAUAAACCGGAGGAAGGUGGGAUGACGUCAAGUCAGCAUGGCCUUUAUAUCCUGGGCUACACACACGCUACAAUGGGAAGGGACAAUAGGUUGCGAAGCCGCGAGGCGGAGCCAAUCCAGCAAAACUUCCCUCAGUUCAGAUUGCAGGCUGCAACCCGCCUGCAUGAAGUUGGAGUUGCUAGUAAACGCAGGUCAGCCAUACUGCGUUGAAUACGUUCCCGGGGCUU